rnacentral:misc_RNA from 1 species
AAAGAAAUAUGAAAAAUUAACAGGAGAUGAUAAAUAUCGUGGAUCCACUGUUAAAAAUUCGGAGUCAGUGCUCAGGGAAAGCAACAAAAAUACUGCUUCCACUCGAUUGCCUCCUCCUCUGGCUGAUGGGCUCUUCAUUUCACUGUCAGAUUCCAAGAAAAUCAAAAGAUACGCCUUUUCAGGUCCUAUUGCAAAGGCAUGGCCUACCAAACCAGUUUCAAUGGAAUCUCCUGGAUUGUUCUCGGGACCCCUUUUGCAGAAUCUAACAGUGCAAUUACCAUCAUCAUCUCCUAAAGUAUCUCCCAAGGUAUCUCCAAAAGUAUCUCCUAAGGUAUCUCCAAAAGUGUCACCAACAGCUUCCCCUACUUUUGUGUCCUCCCCUAAAAUAAGUGAGCUUCAUGAGCUUCCUAGGC